UCGAGCGGAUGACGGGAGCUUGCUCCUUGAUUCAGCGGCGGACGGGUGAGUAAUGCCUAGGAAUCUGCCUGGUAGUGGGGGACAACGUUUCGAAAGGAACGCUAAUACCGCAUACGUCCUACGGGAGAAAGCAGGGGACCUUCGGGCCUUGCGCUAUCAGAUGAGCCUAGGUCGGAUUAGCUAGUUGGUGGGGUAAUGGCUCACCAAGGCGACGAUCCGUAACUGGUCUGAGAGGAUGAUCAGUCACACUGGAACUGAGACACGGUCCAGACUCCUACGGGAGGCAGCAGUGGGGAAUAUUGGACAAUGGGCGAAAGCCUGAUCCAGCCAUGCCGCGUGUGUGAAGAAGGUCUUCGGAUUGUAAAGCACUUUAAGUUGGGAGGAAGGGCAGUAAGCUAAUACCUUGCUGUUUUGACGUUACCGACAGAAUAAGCACCGGCUAACUCUGUGCCAGCAGCCGCGGUAAUACAGAGGGUGCAAGCGUUAAUCGGAAUUACUGGGCGUAAAGCGCGCGUAGGUGGUUUGUUAAGUUGGAUGUGAAAGCCCCGGGCUCAACCUGGGAACUGCAUCCAAAACUGGCAAGCUAGAGUACGGGUAGAGGGUGGUGGA
rnacentral:rRNA from 1 species